AGAGUUUGAUCCUGGCUCAGAACGAACGCUGGCGGCAGGCCUAACACAUGCAAGUCGAGCGCCCCCGCAAGGGGGAGCGGCGGACGGGUGAGUAACGCGUGGGAAUUUUCCUCAAGGUACGGAACAACUCAGGGAAACUUGGGCUAAUACCGUAUGAUGUCUAGCGACCAAAGAUUUAUCGCCUUGGGAUAAGCCCGCGUCAGAUUAGGUAGUUGGUGGGGUAACGGCCUACCAAGCCUGCGAUCUGUAGCUGGUCUGAGAGGACGAUCAGCCACACUGGGACUGAGACACGGCCCAGACUCCUACGGGAGGCAGCAGUGGGGAAUCUUGCGCAAUGGGCGAAAGCCUGACGCAGCCAUGCCGCGUGAAUGAUGAAGGUCUUAGGAUUGUAAAGUUCUUUCGCUCGUGACGAUGAUGACGGUAACGAGAGAA
rnacentral:rRNA from 1 species